rnacentral:rRNA from 1 species
GAGCGGUAACACUUCGGGUGACGAGCGGCGGACGGCUGAGUAACACGUAGGAACGUACCCCAAACUGAGGGAUAAGCACCAGAAAUGGUGUCUAAUACCGCAUGUGAUCUUCGGAUCAAAGCUUCGGCGGUUUGGGAACGGCCUGCGCAAGAUUAGCUUGUUGGUGAGGUAAUGGCUCACCAAGGCGACGAUCUUUAGCUGGUCUGAGAGGAUGAUCAGCCAGACUGGGACUGAGAACGGCCCAGACUCCUACGGGAGGCAGCAGUAGGGAAUUUUCCACAAUGGGGGCAACCCUGAUGGAGCAACGCCGCGUGCAGGAUGAAUGUCUUCGGAUUGUAAACUGCUUUUAUCUGUGACGAUUUUGACGGUAGCAGAUGAAUAAGGACCUGCUAACUACGUG